rnacentral:rRNA from 1 species
CCUACGGGGGGCAGCAGUGAGGAAUAUUGGUCAAUGGACGAGAGUCUGAACCAGCCAAGUAGCGUGAAGGAUGACUGCCCUAUGGGUUGUAAACUUCUUUUAUAUGGGAAUAAAAUGUUCCACGUGUGGGAUUUUGUAUGUACCAUAUGAAUAAGGAUCGGCUAACUCCGUGCCAGCAGCCGCGGUAAUACGGAGGAUCCGAGCGUUAUCCGGAUUUAUUGGGUUUAAAGGGAGCGUAGGUGGAUGGUUAAGUCAGUUGUGAAAGUUUGCGGCUCAACCGUAAAAUUGCAGUUGAAACUGGCAGUCUUGAGUACAGUAGAGGUGGGCGGAAUGCGUGGUGUAGCGGUGAAAUGCUUAGAUAUCACGAAGAACUCCGAUUGCGAAGGCAGUUCACUGGACUGCAACUGACACUGAGGCUCGAAAGUGUGGGUAUCAAACAGGAUUAGAUACCCCUGUAGUC